GACGAACGCUGGCGGCGUGCUUAACACAUGCAAGUCGAACGGAAAGGCCCUGCUUUUGUGGGGUGCUCGAGUGGCGAACGGGUGAGUAACACGUGAGUAACCUGCCCUUGACUUUGGGAUAACUUCAGGAAACUGGGGCUAAUACCGGAUAGGAGCUCCUGCUGCAUGGUGGGGGUUGGAAAGUUUCGGCGGUUGGGGAUGGACUCGCGGCUUAUCAGCUUGUUGGUGGGGUAGUUGCUUACCAAGGCUUUGACGGGUAGCCGGCCUGAGAGGGUGACCGGCCAAAUUGGGACUGAGAUACGGCCCAGAAUCCUACGGGAGGCAGCAGUGGGGAAUAUUGCACAAUGGGCGGAAGCCUGAUGCAGCAACGCCGCGUGCGGGAUGACGGCCUUCGGGUUGUAAACCGCUUUCGCCUGUGACGAAGAGUGAGUGACGGUAAUGGGUAAAGAAGCACCGGCUAACUACGUG
rnacentral:rRNA from 1 species